GAUGAAGAACGCAGCGAAAUGCGAUAAGUAGUGUGAAUUGCAGAAUUCAGUGAAUCAUCGAAUCUUUGAACGCACAUUGCGCCCCUUGGUAUUCCAUGGGGCAUGCCUGUUCGAGCGUCAUUUGUACCUUCAAGCUCUGCUUGGUGUUGGGUGUUUGUCUCGCCUCUGCGUGUAGACUCGCCUCAAAACAAUUGGCAGCCGGCGUAUUGAUCUCGGAGCGCAGUACAUCUCGCGCUUUGCACUCAUAACGACGACGUCCAAAAGUACAUUUUUACACUCUUGACCUCGGAUCAGGUAGGGAUACCCGCUGAACUUAAGCAUAUCAAUAAGCGGAGGA
rnacentral:misc_RNA from 1 species